ACAUUAACGAGAGUAACUUCAUGCUGAUGUUGUAAGUAUCACUCAGUUGAGAUUCUACUUCAUUCUCCGUCGCAACAAUCUCAAUGGCGUUUCUUCUCAAACCCUCACUUCACAACCGCCACUUCACCGCCGCCAAACACCUCUCUCCCACCCUCACCCACCUCUUCUCCACCACCUCCUCACCUCCCACACAAAACGACGCCGAAUUAAUCUCCAAACUCCUCCUCCAACACUACAACCCUUACCACUCAAUGGAAUCCCCACUCCAACUCCAAAGCAUAACCCUAACCCCAACCCUCUUAACCGAAACCCUAACCCACCUCAAACACCACUCCAAAAUCGCACUCUCUCUCUUCAAUUUCUCCAAAUCCCUCCCAAACCCACCUCUCUCACAUUCCUCUUACAAUCUCCUUAUCGAUAUCGUCUCCAAAGUUCACCAAUUCGACCUCGCUUGGCAAUUAAUUAUCGAAAUGGACCAAAAUAACCUCACCCCAGACCCAACCACUUUCUUCAUCAUCAUCAAACGCCUCAUCGCCGCUAACCUAACUCGCCAAGCGAUUCGCGCUUUCGAAGAAAUUGAAUCCUACACAAACACCAAAUUAACCUCACAACAUUUCACUUUCUUGCUCGACACGCUUUGUAAGUAUGGCCACGUUAAAAUUGCCUGCGAAUUGUUUAACAAAAAUCAAAAUAGGUUUAGCCCCGACGCGAAAAUGUAUACUAUUUUGAUAUAUGGAUGGUGUAAAAUUAGUAGAUUUAAGACGGCAUUGUCGUUUUUAAAUGAGAUGAAGGUGAAGGGGAUUGAGGCGAAUGUUGUUACUUAUAAUGUUUACUUGAAUGGAAUUUGUAGAAAGGCGAGUUUGCAUCCGGAGGAGAGGUUUGAGAGAACGAUAAGGGAUGCGGAGAAGGUGUUCGAUGAAAUGCGCGAGAGUGGAAUUGAACCGGAUGUGACUAGUUUUUCGAUUGUUCUUCAUGUUUAUAGUCGGGCACAUAAGCCGCAGUUGGUUUUGGAUAAGUUGAGUUUGAUGAAGGAGAAAGGGAUUUGUCCGAAUGUUGUGACUUAUACUUCGGUUAUUAAGUGUCUUUGUUCAUGUGGGAGGAUUGAGGAGGCUGAGGAUUUGCUUGAUGAGAUGGUGAGAAAUGGAGUGAGUCCUUGUGCUAAGACGUAUAAUUGUUUCUUUAAGGAGUAUAGAGGGAGGAAGGAGACUGAUAAGGCUUUGAAGUUUUUUAAGAAGAUGAAGGAUGAUGGGUUGUGCGAGCCGACGACGCAUACGUAUGGUGUUUUGAUUGCCAUGUUUUUGAAGGCGGAUAUGAUUGGAGUUGUUAAGGAGAUUUGGAAGGAUAUGAUGGAGCGUGGGGUUGGACCGGAUUUGGAUUCGUAUACGGUUUUGAUACAUGGGUUGUGUGAGAGGAAGAAGUGGAGGGAGGCUUGCGGUUAUUUUGUUGAGAUGAUUGAGAAGGGGUUUCUUCCUCAGAAAGUUACCUUUGAGACGCUUUAUAGGGGUCUCAUUCAGGCUGAUAUGUUGAGGACUUGGAGGAGGUUGAAGAAGAAGCUUGAUGAAGAGUCCAUUACAUUUGGUUCAGAGUUUCAAAAUUAUCAUUUAAAGCCUUAUAGGAGAUGAGCUGCUAGUGUUUCACUCACAUGAAGAGGAUGGAUGAUGGGUGGUUAGCUGGUGUUUCUUAUUGUAAGAAUUUGAAGACUUUAAGGUUGGUGUCUUGUAAGGUUAUUGAUGGUAAUCCUGGAUUGGAGGAACAUUUGGGGUUUUGUAUUGCACUUGAAAGGUUGCAUUUUCAGAAAUGUUAGUUAAGGGAUAAGAAUGCAAUGGGAGCUUCUUUUUUGGUUUGUAGGGCUGCUAGGGAUGUUGUUCUUCAGGAUUGUUGGGGGUUGGAUGACUGCAUUUUCAGUUUGGCUGUUGUGUGCAGGCGGGUAAAAUUGUUCGACUUAGAAGGACGCUCAUUGCUUACAACCGACAGUUUAGAAUCUGUAAUCGAAUCCUGGAAGGAACUUGAGUGCCUUAGAGUUGUCUCUUGUAAAAAUAUAAAGGAUAGUGAUAUCUCUCCUGCGCUUGCAACGUUAUUUACCACUCAAGGAAUUGAAAUGGAGGCCAGAUACAAAACAUCUUCUGCCAUCAAGUCUUGCGGAGGUAAACAUGGGAAAAAAAGGCAAGAAGUUUUUCAAGUAGACAUGAUGCUUGAACUUGCUAUAUACUGUCAGAAUCUAGAAACAGAUACUCACUUGACACAGUGAAACUUGUACCAUUAUGUAAUCAUCAUGUAGUUAUAAUUUAGAUGGUUAAUUAGAUAUUGACAGUGGAAGAUUAUUGGAAAUGAAUUUGAAGCAAUCAGCAGUCACUUGGUACUGAUAUUGACCAUUGAUGAAGAUCAAACGGUUCGAAUUCAGAGUGUCAUAAUUUGACUAAAGAUACAAUGCGAGUCAUCCGAACUCUGUCUGACUGACUACAAAGGCUGCGAGAAUUGUUGACAACAGUAAAUCCAGCGAGAUUAUAUGCAUCCUUUGCGUAGAGAUGUAAUCCCUCAAGAUUAUUUGUUAUUCACCUAGAGAUGUAAUUAUGUUUACCUUAAUUCAGUUCACCCCAUGUUGAAAAUGGAUAACUUUUAGUCCCAAUAUUUUUUUAUUGUUCUUUGAUGUCUACCAUUGAAAUAAGGGACUAAAUAAGAGAUGUAAUUUAUGUGUAAGCAUAACCCAUUUCAGUAGGGUACCUUUGUUAUUCAACACUUUCUUGUUGCUACUGCAGCAGUGAUUUUUACGUUUUUUUUUCUUCUUAU